UUCAACACUGUAGCGCAGUUUGUCAUGUGCCCCCUGCCCCCAGGUAUAGCACUCAGGGUGGGCUGCUUUGGAAGGAUCUCUCUGCUGCGUGCAAGUGGAGCAUGCAGUUGGGUCUCCUGCCCUGGCAGUUUCCUGAACCGGAGCUCCUUGUGAAUCCUAGACUUCUGUGUCCUUUGUUGCCUACCCCAUGCACAGGUGACUCUUUGCCAGAAGGACGAAGGACUCACCCAGCGCCCUGGAGAACCAUGGAACACAUGAGGGGCAGGCACCAGGACUAGGGAACUUGGAGCACCGCCCAACUGAACAGCAGCAAUGUCAGAGAUAGGUCCUUGGGUUCAUUACAUCAGACUCAAGCCUGCAGCUGUGGACUGGGAGUGCUCUCCAUACGCUGCUACGCCCAUGAAGCUGACCAUCCAAAUAAGGAAGCACUGGAGAAGCUUGAGGAUCAGAAGGACAACAGCCCUGCUCUAGUCACUCCUGAACCUUACUAGCCUCUAGCCUGUGCAUGUUUGAAGCUUGAGGAAACUACAGCCCUGCUUCAGCCACUCAGGGGCUGGCUGAUCAAUGCACAGCAUGCACAGUGGAAGAUAGACUUAUCACCAGGAUAAAUGGACUCUUUCAGCCUCUAAGAUAGUUCUUAGAUGCAUUGAUGCCUCUUACUUCUAGCUGUAUAUAUAGUUCUCUGUUCCUUUUUUUGCUAUUGUUUUGAUAACAGUAAUUCCUACUGACUGGGCUCUUGGUAACAAAACUUCAUUUAUACUUUUUUUAUCUUGCUUGUAGAGGUUUUCUAGGUUCAUUUGGUAUUAUUAAUAUGGCUUUGUUAACUCACACUGUUUGACCUAUGCUAAUCAAAAUGUUGGUCUAUCAUUUAGUUUGGUUUCCUUUGAUAAUCUUAGGGGGCUCUGCCCUACUCCUGCCCCAACAGUGGAGAUCAUGAUUAUAUCUAUUAUAAUCAAGAGGUGAUAGAAAACAUUACAUUUAGGACCUGUCCCACCAGAGAGAUGCUCUAGGUGGAUGACUGUCUCUGGAAAGGACAAAGAGUCUGUAUAGCUUGGAUUGAAUCCCAAUAUAAGGGGGGAUAUAACUUGCCAGGGAAUUUCACUCUUACCAGUGGAAUUUGGUAUUGCUGGCCACUGGACUUUCAGCCUCUGACAUGGGAAAAUUUUAUAAAAAGUGAUCCAAAACCAACUGCCUCAAGACCUACUAUAAACCCUUGCCCUGAUGCUAAAGUUUAUGAGGGGUUGAGUUCAAAUCUCAACCUUCUUUCCUUGGGAAAAAAAAAAAUCUCUUUCUGGACCUAGCAGAGAGAAUUGCUAAAAACCUUGGAGUUCAAAACUAUUGGGUCUGUGGAGGGGCCCUCGUGAUCGAAGAAUGACCCUGGACUUGAAUUUGUCUAGAUGCUUAUUCCCUACUAAUGUGAAAUAAGACCCACAUGGAACUAAAAAUUGAAAGGCCCCCAAGGCUGGGUCCUCACCUCAAAAGUAUUUGGUAAAGAAGGUCUUGGCAGAUUUGGACCCCACAACAUCCAAUGGGUAGGUAAAACCCCAAGUAAUAGAAUAUUGUUUGGGAAUGCUAUCUGGUGGCUAGAGAAACCUAUGUGGUUUGGGGCAGAUAACCCAGGCUGGCUGGGAAUUUAUGAUUUUAUAUGCAGAGAGCCCUCUAAGAAAAAAAAUUAUUUUUAACUGUACCAGUUACCAAGAGAUCUCCUUGUAUGAGGAUCUAGGGCCAAGGAAAGAGAGGUCCAUUGGGAAAGGACUUGAUCUAGGAGGUCACCAAUUUUGGGGUGAAGGUGACUGGCCACCCCAGAGGAUUAUUGCCACUUAUGGUCCCACUACCUGGGCACGAGAUGGCAGUUGGGGAUAUAGAAGUCCUAUUUACAUGCCAAACAGAAUUAUUGACUUACAAGUUGUACUAGAAAUUAUUAUUAAUCAGACUAUCACAGCCUUUGACCUCCUAGCCACACAGCAGACCCAGAUGCAAGCAGCUAUAUCUAUCAAAACCACUUGGCAUUAGAUUACCUACUGGCUGAGAAGGGAAGAAUAUGUGGAAAGUUCAACAGCUCAGACUGUUGCGUCCAAAUAGAUGACUAUGGACAAGCAUUAAAGACAGCCAAAAACAUAAGAAAAUCUGCACACGUGCCAGUUCAAAGCUAGCAGGGCAUUAAAGCUUGGGAUCCAAACUCCCUAUUUGGAGGAUGGUGUUUAACUCUUGGUGGAUUAAAAAGCUUAAGUGGUAUACUGGGUAUUCUGCUGUUAACCUGUUGAUUGUUCCCCUGUUUGGCUCCACUGUGUAUUAAAACCCUUAGAUCUACUAUAGAAGCAGUUGUUGAAAGAAAGACAACAACUAAGCUUUUGGCAUUACAUAAUGCUUUAAGCCAACAAGAUGGUUAAUGAUGCUCUUUAAUUUAAAAGAUUAAAUUUUGGGAAGCAUCCUUAAAGGGAAGAAUUGCUGUGGCACAUCCUCUUCCAAAGAAAAUCACAAUUAAGCUUCUCCAGAGACUCUCUGCAUAAUUGUUCUUAGACCCUCAGCAAGGAUCUUUGCAAAAGUUUUCAGGCAGGGGGUCUGUUUGCAGAAGCAGAGUACUUCCAGGGAGACUAUCUCAAUGUCUUCACAGAGGUGUUUGCAUUUCAAAAGACAGUAGUUAGAUCCUAGGGAAAGGCUUUACAAUCCAAUAGAUAAGAAUAAAAGGUGAAUCAGGUCCUUGGAAAUCAGCUGGGGGGUGGGGAGGGGGAGGAGAACUAUCCCUUUCCCAGGCACUGAUUUUCACAGAGAGCAUCCUUGGGGUUAUUUUUGUAAAACCUGGCCUGAGUUUAUUGCCCAGAACAGUAGGGAAAAAAAAAAAAAAAAAGCCCUACUUUUAUGUGGACUUCUGCAGAUUGUGAGCCUCUGAGCCCCUCCCUCUACACAUUGAGUAUAAAGUUCUAAAACUUUCUGAACUCGGGGUUCAGAGGGAUUGAUUGUUUGUGAUGAAAGCCCCCCACCCACUGGACUGUUGCAGCUAAUAAACCUGCUUCCUGCCAAUUCCCUGAAGUCCAGCCUGUCUCUCCUACUUCACAGCCUCAAGGGAAACUGCUGUGGAGGAUCCUCCAAAACUUAAAAUAGAAUUACCAUAUGAUCCAGCAAUUUCAUUUUUAGGUGUGUAUCAGAAAAAAUUGACAGCAGGAUCUCAAAGAGAGAUUUAAAUACCCAUGCUUAUAGCAGAAUUAUUCGUAGUAGCCAAAAAGUGGAAGUAACCCAACUGUCUAUCAACAGAGGAAUGGGGAAAUAAAAUGUGAACUAUAUACACACAAUGGAACAUUAUUCAGCCUUAAAAAGGAAGAGAAAAGUUUUUUUUUUUUAAAAACCAUCUUCACAGAGGCAUUUGCAUUUCAAAGGACAGUAGUUAGAUCCUUGGGAAAAUCCUUUACAAUCCAAUAGAUAAGAGUCAACAUUGAAUUAGGUCCUUGGAAACCAGCUGGGGGGGGGGCGUGGAGAGGGGAACUCUCCUUUUCCCAGGCACUGGGAUGGGUAUAAAGGCAAAUUUUUAUGUUAUGAGUAUCUUAUCACAAUUAAAAACAUAUUUGAGUAACCUGGAAAAUAUCAUCUGAGGAAAAAAAAAGCCAAGAUUGAGAAAAUAUAUGGAAUCAAAAUAGAAAGCUUUCUCUGCCCCUCUCUUUCCUGGAGUGUCAUUCUUAAUUCUGCUGGGAAUCAUAUAUAUAAAUAUGCAGCUUUAAAAUAUAUGAUACGUAGGGCUAGGUAAUCUGCCUUUUCAAUAGUGUCCGCCACCUUUGGGAGAUUUUCCCAUGUCAGUAUGUAUGGAGUGACGUCAUUUUUAAAAAAAACCAUUGCAUAGUAUUUCAAAACAUCCAUGGCAUAAUUUAAGCAUUUUUCUAUUGAUUGACAGUUACAUCAUUUCUGAUCUCCCCUGCUAUAGACAAUACUGCAAUAAACAUUCUUUCACUUCCUA